UUAUUGUCGUUGGUCAUCCAAUCAACAUGUAUGAAGUAAUAAAAUUGAAGGGGAUGAGUGCGUCAUCAAGGAAUGUGUGUGAGGGAAUGUUCCUCAUCCUUUCAAAAUGGAAAUGAUUUUAAACAUUGCAAAUACUUCAACAUAGGUACAUUUGUACACCCUUGUACAUUAAGCACAGGUACCUUGUACACUUAGUGUAAAUGUCUUGUACACAGACAUAAAUUCCAUACAACCACUACUGAAUGUAUACUCAUGCAUAGGAAGAUUCAGAGUUUUCACUCUGGUGACAUGGCAUUUCACGUUUACCAGCUGUGAAACCCAUUAUUUUACAACAAUUUGAGUUGGAAAUGUAAAGGCCAUUUUCGUCUGUUAACAUUUGAUAUCCUUAUCAUUAAUUAGGUCAGUUAGAUGGACCAUUUCUUAAUUUUUGGGCCCAGCUGGGCCCAAAACACAAUUCUCCUGUGUUUUGUUUUUUAUACUACAAUGAGAUCGGUUUCUUAAUUAAGAAACAUGUGUCGGUCAAGAAAGAUUCACGGUAUGACUUAUAAUAAUCAAAUACGAUAAACCCUAGAUGACAACAUGCACAAAAUAUAUACACAUUGAUGAUUCUUAUCGUAUAAUAAAUCCCGAAAAAAGACAUGCAUCGUUUGUAGUUAGAGCCUAACCCCUCAUCAACAAUGGAUGAAACAAUAAAACAUGAGCUAAAAAAAUGUUAAUAUGGUUGCGUGCUUAAAAAACAAUAUCACAAUGUAUUGUAAGUAGGUUUUACGAAUGACACAAGCUUGAUUAAUUAAUCAAAAACCCGAUCACCUACUAAUUACACAAUGCAUGAACGGUACACCUAAACUGACUGCAUUGUCAUGACCCAAAAUGGAAUCACAUGGAUUGAGCUCAUUUUCAUGAAUAAAUCAAGCAUUUUUACUCGUUUCAUUGAUAUAAUCACCGUAGUAGACCUAGACUCAUUGUGAU
rnacentral:lncRNA from 1 species